AUAGAAAUAAGAAUAAUUAGUACUCUAGACUGUUGAGACCUUAUUUCCUUGAUAUUUAUCUCUACUUCCUCUAAGAUUGUAUCCCUUGCAUAAUUACUCAUCUGCUUUGUGGCACGGAGUGUUUAACAGCAGUGGAAAAGUACCAUAUGUGGUUUAAUUUUCCUUCAAUAUUCUCAUCAUUAUGGCAUGCCUUCUUCUUAAUC
rnacentral:misc_RNA from 1 species